AAAGGAAUAGACGGGGACCCGCACAAGCAGCGGAGCAUGUGGUUUAAUUCGAAGCAACGCGAAGAACCUUACCAAGGCUUGACAUCCCCCCGAAAGCCCCUUAACCGGGGCCCCCCUCCGGGGCGGGGGUGACAGGUGGUGCAUGGUUGUCGUCAGCUCGUGUCGUGAGAUGUUGGGUUAAGUCCCGCAACGAGCGCAACCCUUGUCAUUAGUUGCCAUCAUUUGGUUGGGCACUCUAAUGAGACUGCCGGGGAUAACUCGGAGGAAGGUGGGGAUGACGUCAAAUCAUCAUGCCCCUUAUGUCUUGGGCUACACACGUGCUACAAUGGCCGGUACAACGAGAUGCGAAGUCGCGAGGCGGAGCGAACCUCCAAAACCGGUCCCAGUUCGGAUCGCGGGCUGCAACUCGCCCGCGUGAAGCCGGAGUUGCUAGUAAUCGCGGAUCAGCACGCCGCGGUGAAUGCGUUCCCGGGUCUUGUACACACCGCCCGU
rnacentral:rRNA from 1 species